AUUGAACGCUGGCGGCCGGCCUAACACAUGCAAGUCGGGCGAGAGGCGGACGGGUAACUAAUGUAUGGGCCUGUGCCUGAUGGAGGGGGAUAACUACUGGAAACUGUAGCCACUACCGCCUACCAGCGGCUGGACCCCUAUGGUUUUAGCGAGUAGGUGAGGUAACGGCUCACCUAGGCGACGAUCCCUAGCUGGUCUGAGAGGAUGAGCAGCCACACUGGGACUGAGACACGGCCCAGACUCCUACGGGAGGCAGCAGUGGGGAAUAUUGCACAAUGGGCGCAAGCCUGAUGCAGCCAUGCCGCGUGUAUGAAGAAGGCCUUCGGGUUGUAAAGUACUUUCAGUCGGGAGGCGUUACCGACAGAAGAAGCACCGGCUAACUCCGUGCCAGCAGCCGCGGUAAUAC
rnacentral:rRNA from 1 species